rnacentral:rRNA from 1 species
GUCGUAACAAGGUUUCCGUAGGUGAACCUGCGGAGGAUCAUUGUUGAACCUGCAUAGCAGAAAGACCCGCGAACUUGUGAACAACUAUAUUGGGAGAGGGAUACGGGUCUCUUGGACUCCUUCCCUCGAUUUCGGACCGAGGAGUGCCCUUGUCGGCAUUCUUUGGCUCUGAUAAAAUAACAAACUCGGCGCGAUCAGCGCCAAGGAAAAUUAAAUGGAAAUAGCUUGCCCUUGCUCUUGCAAGAUGGUAUUGCUUAUCUGAUAUUCGAACGACUCUCGGCAAUGGAUAUCUCGGCUCUCGCAUCGAUGAAGAACGUAGCGAAAUGCGAUACUUGGUGUGAAUUGCAGAAUCCCGUGAACCAUCGAGUUUUUGAACGCAAGUUGCGCCCAAAGCCACUAGGCUGAGGGCACGUCUGCCUGGGCGUCACGCACAGCGUCGCGCUCAACACAAGCAAUGUUUUCGUGUUGAUGAGCGGAAGUUGGCCACCCGAGCUAUCUCAGCUCGGUAGGCCUAAAUGAUGGCCUCGAGCGAUGGGCAUCACGAUCUAUGGUGGUUUAGAACCCCUUUCGUCGUAGACCGGCGUCGUGUUUGCCUCGUUGACCGCUCGAGCUGUACAAACCCUUGUGUGUUGCAUCUAACACUCACCUUGCGACCCCAGGUCAGGCGGGACUACCCGCUGAGUUUAAGCAUAUCAAUAAGCGGAGGAGAAGAAACUUACAAGGAUUCCCCUAGUAACGGCGAGCGAACCGGGAUCAGCCCAGCUG